CCCCUCUCAGGGUCACACCUGGAGGGUUUUCAGUACUCUACCAGUUUCGACUACCAGAAGGAGAGUCAAGCUGAGGCAAACCCAUUCCAUUCCUAGCUUGGCCAGUGGCUAGUGAGUGGAAGGCAAUCUGCUACAAGU